UACGGAGGGUGCAAGCGUUAUCCGGAUUCACUGGGUUUAAAGGGUGCGUAGGAGGGCAGGUAAGUCAGUGGUGAAAUCUCCAAGCUUAACUUGGAAACUGCCGUUGAUACUAUCUGUCUUGAAUAUUUGUGGAGGUGAGCGGAAUAUGUCAUGUAGCGGUGAAAUGCUUAGAUAUACAUAGAACACCAAUUGCGAAAGACAGCUCACUACUCAAUCAUUGACUCUGAGGCACGAAAGCGUGGGGAUCAAACAGG
rnacentral:rRNA from 1 species